rnacentral:rRNA from 1 species
CAAGGAAUAUUGCGCAAUGGACGAAAGUCUGACGCAGCAACACCGCGUGGAGGACGAAGGCCUUCGGGUUGUAAACUCCUUUUCUGGGGGAAGAGAAAGGACGGUACCCCAGGAAUAAGUCUCGGCUAACUACGUGCCAGCAGCCGCGGUAACACGUAGGAGGCAAGCGUUAUCCGGAUUUACUGGGCGUAAAGCGCAUGUAGGCGGUUUUCUAAGUCAGACGUUAAAGCUCCUGGCUCAACUGGGAGAGGCCGUUUGAUACUAGAAGACUUGAGGGUGGUAGAGGAGAGUGGAAUUCCCGGUGUAGUGGUGAAAUGCGUAGAUAUCGGGAGGAACACCAGUGGCGAAGGCGGCUCUCUGGGCCAACCCUGACGCUCAGAUGCGAAAGCUAGGGGGAGAGAACGGGAUUAGAAACCCCGGUAUUCCUAGCCGUAAACGAUGUCAACUAGGCGUAGGAGGUUAUUGACCCCUUCUGUGCUGUAGCUAACGCAUUAAGUUGACCGCCUGGGGACUACGGCCGCAA